AUUAAAGUAGUUUAUAUAAAAUUAGGAGUUGUGAUUUCCUAGAAUCUUGUUAGACUUUAAUU
rnacentral:tRNA from 1 species